AAUCCUGAGUUAUGGGAGCCAUGAUGAUGUAAAAUUGGUUUUUUUAUAACAUUACAACCGAAAAGGCAAAUACUAUCAGCUUAGCUUAGCGAAACUUUGAAAACAUUUCAUAGGCGUUUUAAAAUUUUUAUAAAUCCGGUGUGGUUGCGUAUGAUUACAUAAAAACAAUUCAUUGGUGGGACCGAAAGCAACGUAGCCAUGUAAACUAAGUGGAACAGGAGAGAGCAUACAAAAUUGGUUUUUUGAUAAGAAAACAUUCGCAGCCUAAUGAACCUAUUUCUUUUGUCACGCAGUUAAGUUUAGGAGCAAAUACACCCUUUGUAUGCGGUUUUACUUGUAACUUAACACAAGCGAAAUAAAGGGAGCCAAAACAUUGGAGAUGACAAAGGGCUCCCACUCCGACCUAAGCUCUUCAAGCUUGGAAUAUCUCGCUUCGCCCCGUUAUUACCACUCAAUGCGAAAAAUCACAAGCAGUUUCAAGUAUUUUUACAGUCAAAUUGUUUUUAUUCACUUAAACAAAUAAUCAAGAGCAAAACGAUGAAUCUCACUUUACCGACAAAACAACACAGUAGCUCCAGGGUUGAAAAGUGUUUGAGGGAUGACUUCUUAACCGCCCGUUCCGCUGCUUAUACUUGAGGACGCCUCGAGAUUUGUGUAUACAUGGACAACGUCAUUAGAAGACAUGAAAUAUGCCACUUUCACAGUCGCCGAAAGUGCUUGCACGUGCUUGGGCCUUGUUCUUUAUUUAACAGAAGGACAUUGACGUUGCGAUGAAAUAUGGUUAUAAUGACUUACUCGCCCAUUACAUUUGUGAACAAAACAUCAAAGAACAUCAAAUAAACUGAACCACCAGAAGUUGAAUCGGUAUACAUACAUAUAUAUAUGUGGGGACGGGCUUUUUUAGGUACAAAAUU
rnacentral:sRNA from 1 species